rnacentral:tRNA from 1 species
GCCCCCGUAGCUCAGAGGAUAGAGCACUGGAUUCCUAAUCCAGGUGUCGCAUGUUCGAGUCAUGCCGGGGGCGCCA